rnacentral:rRNA from 1 species
CGCGUAGGCGGCCUUAUAAGUCAGAUGUGAAAGUCCACGGCUUAACUGUGGAAGUGCAUUUGAAACUGUGAGGCUUGAGUAUCGGAGGGGAAAGUGGAAUUCCCGGUGUAGAGGUGAAAUUCGUAGAUAUCGGGAGGAACACCGGUGGCGAAGGCGACUUUCUGGACGAAUACUGACGCUGAGGCGCGAAAGCGUGGGGAGCAAACA